GACGAACGCUGGCGGCGUGCCUAAUACAUGCAAGUAGAACGCUGAAGGAGGAGCUUGCUUCUCUGGAUGAGUUGCGAACGGGUGAGUAACGCGUAGGUAACCUGCCUGGUAGCGGGGGAUAACUAUUGGAAACGAUAGCUAAUACCGCAUAAUAGUAGAUGUUGCAUGACAUUUGCUUAAAAGGUGCAAUUGCAUCACUACCAGAUGGACCUGCGUUGUAUUAGCUAGUUGGUGAGGUAACGGCUCACCAAGGCGACGAUACAUAGCCGACCUGAGAGGGUGAUCGGCCACAAGGGGACUGAGGCACGGCCCAGGCUUCUACGGGAGGCAGCAGUAGGGAAUCUUGGGCAAUGGACGGAAGUCGGACCGAGCAACGCCGCGUGAGUGAAGAAGGUUUUCGGAUCGUAAAGCUCUGUUGUAAGAGAAGAACGAGUGUGAGAGUGGAAAGUUCACACUGUGACGGUAUCUUACCAGAAAGGGACGGCUAACUACGUG
rnacentral:rRNA from 1 species